GACGAACGCUGGCGGCGUGCUUAACACAUGCAAGUCGAACGGAAAGGCCCUGCUUUUGUGGGGUGCUCGAGUGGCGAACGGGUGAGUAACACGUGAGUAACCUGCCCUUGACUUUGGGAUAACUUCAGGAAACUGGGGCUAAUACCGGAUAGGAGCUCCUGCUGCAUGGUGGGGGUUGGAAAGUUUCGGCGGUUGGGGAUGGACUCGCGGCGUAUCAGCUUGUUGGUGGGGUAGUGGCUUACCAAGGCUUUGACGGGUAGCCGGCCUGAGGGGGUGACCGGCCACAUUGGGACUGAGAUACGGCCACGACUCCUACGGGAGGCAGCAGUGGGGAAUAUUGCACAAUGGGCGGAAGCCUGAUGCAGCAACGCCGCGUGCGGGAUGACGGCCUUCGGGUUGUAAACCGCUUUCGCCUGUGACGAAGCGUGAGUGACGGUAAUGGGUAAAGAAGCACCGGCUAACUACGUG
rnacentral:rRNA from 1 species